UACGGAGGGUGCGAGCGUUGUCCGGAAUCACUGGGCGUAAGGGGCGCGUAGGCGGCAUGCCAAGCGUGUGGUGAAAGCCCGGGGCUCAACCCCGGGUCGGCCGUGCGGACUGGCGUGCUCGAGCACUGUAGGGGCGGGUGGAAUUCCGGGUGUGAGCGGUGGAAUGCGUAGAGAGUCCGGAAGAACACCGGUGGCGAAGGCGGCCCGCUGGGCUAACACUGACGCUCAUGCACGAAAGCGUGGG
rnacentral:rRNA from 1 species